rnacentral:rRNA from 1 species
AGAGUUUGAUCAUGGCUCAGAUUGAACGCUGGCGGCAGGCUUAACACAUGCAAGUCGAGCGGUAACAGGGGAAGCUUGCUUCCCGCUGACGAGCGGCGGACGGGUGAGUAAUGCUUAGGAAUCUGCCCAGUAGUGGGGGAUAGCCCGGGGAAACCCGGAUUAAUACCGCAUACGUCCUACGGGAGAAAGCAGGGGAUCUUCGGACCUUGCGCUAUUGGAUGAGCCUAAGUCGGAUUAGCUAGUUGGUGGGGUAAAGGCCUACCAAGGCGACGAUCCGUAGCUGGUCUGAGAGGAUGAUCAGCCACAUCGGGACUGAGACACGGCCCGAACUCCUACGGGAGGCAGCAGUGGGGAAUAUUGGACAAUGGGGGCAACCCUGAUCCAGCCAUGCCGCGUGUGUGAAGAAGGCUUUCGGGUUGUAAAGCACUUUCAGUAGGGAGGAAAACCUUAUGGUUAAUACCCAUGAGGCUUGACGUUACCUACAGAAGAAGCACCGGCUAACUCCGUGCCAGCAGCCGCGGUAAUACGGAGGGUGCAAGCGUUAAUCGGAAUUACUGGGCGUAAAGCGCGCGUAGGUGGUUUGGUAAGCGAGAUGUGAAAGCCCCGGGCUUAACCUGGGAACGGCAUUUCGAACUGUCAGACUAGAGUGUGGUAGAGGGUAGUGGAAUUUCCUGUGUAGCGGUGAAAUGCGUAGAUAUAGGAAGGAACACCAGUGGCGAAGGCGGCUACCUGGACCAACACUGACACUGAGGUGCGAAAGCGUGGGGAGCAAACAGGAUUAGAUACCCUGGUAGUCCACGCCGUAAACGAUGUCAACUAGCCGUUGGGGCUCUUGAAGUCUUAGUGGCGCAGCUAACGCACUAAGUUGACCGCCUGGGGAGUACGGCCGCAAGGUUAAAACUCAAAUGAAUUGACGGGGGCCCGCACAAGCGGUGGAGCAUGUGGUUUAAUUCGACGCAACGCGAAGAACCUUACCUGGCCUUGACAUCCAGAGAACUUUCCAGAGAUGGAUUGGUGCCUUCGGGAACUCUGAGACAGGUGCUGCAUGGCCGUCGUCAGCUCGUGUCGUGAGAUGUUGGGUUAAGUCCCGUAACGAGCGCAACCCCUAUCCCUGGUUGCUAGCAGGUAAUGCUGAGAACUCCAGGGAGACUGCCGGUGACAAACCGGAGGAAGGUGGGGAUGACGUCAGGUCAUCAUGGCCCUUACGGCCAGGGCUACACACGUGCUACAAUGGCGCGUACAGAGGGCUGCCAACUCGCGAGAGUGAGCCAAUCCCUUAAAACGCGUCGUAGUCCGGAUCGGAGUCUGCAACUCGACUCCGUGAAGUCGGAAUCGCUAGUAAUCGCGAAUCAGAAUGUCGCGGUGAAUAC